GUGUGUGUGUGUGAGUUUGUAAAACCUACCAACCGGGGAAAAUCGUAUGAAUACACACCAACUAACCGGGGAACACCUACCAACCGGGGAAUUCCCCGGUUGGUUUUAGGCGAAAAUCUCUAAUCUACGUGUAUGAAAUACCAAACUGUCAAUUUAAAUUAGAAAUUCAACGCCUUCCCCGAUUAGCGGGUUUGUGGCAUGCACAAAAUAUACACAAAUCUUGACCAAAUUACAAUCGAGUGUGUAUCCAGGCUUAUAACAGUUCCCCGGUUGCGCUGUUUAAAAAUCAUACACUCGGUAUUGAUAUCAUUUAGUGAAAGUAAGUUGGAAAAAUGGAGUUUCGAGCGAACAAACGCAUUAAACUAAGGUAAGUUUUUUAAUUAUGUUUACAACUUUCAAUUACUAUUAAAAAGCGUUUUUAUGUAAACGUUAAAGUAAUACUGGAAGACGAAUUCUAAAGAUCGAUUUAUAUAAAUAUCAUUUGAUUACAAAGCUUUUUUUACGGUACAUUUUUCACGAAUAUAUUUUAUAAAUAUACGUUAAUAAUAUAUGUAGUGGAGCUAUCCUACUCACCCCGGCGUCGGCGUUAACGUGAGCGUUAGCGUGAGCGUGAGCGUUGGAAUGUUAAAGUUUGCGUACCACCUCAAAUAUUGUUUAUGUCCCUUGAGAUAUUGCUUUUAUAUUUAGCAUACUUCUUUACCAACAUGACCCCAAUCUAUAAACAAGAGCAGACAACUGUAAGAAGCAUUUUGUAAGAAUUAUGGCCCCUUUUUCACUUAAAAUAUGCAUAUUAUUGAUAAAUCUUUGUUAAAGUUUACGUACCACCGCAAAUACUUUCUAUGUCCCUUGACAUAUUGCUUUUAUAUUUUGCAUUCUUCUUUACCAACAUAACCCCAAUCGAUAAACAAGAGCAGACAACUGUAACAAGCAUUUUGUAAGCAUUAUGGCCCCUUUUCCACUUAGAAUAUGCAUAUUAUUGAUAAAUCUUUAUUAAAGUUUGCGUACCACCUCAAAUAUUUUCUUUGUCCCUUGAAAUAAGGUUUCAUAUUUUGCACACUUCUUUACCAACAUGACCCCAAUCUAUAAACAAGAGCAGACAACUGUUAAAACCAUUUUGUAAGAAUUAUGGCCCCUUUUUUCUCUUAGAAUAUGCAUAUUAUUAAUAAUUCUUUGUUAAAGUUUGCGUACAACCUUAAAUAUUUUCUUUGUCCCUUGACAUAUUGCUUUCAUAUUAUCCAUACUUCUUUACCAACAUGACCCCAAUCUAUAAACAAGAGCAGACUACUGUAAACAACAUUUUGUAAGAAAUAUGGCCCUUUUUCCACUUAGUAACUUUGAAUAUUUUGUUAAAUUUUGUGUUUACAUCGACUUUACUUCUAAAGUAUCAAGGCUAUUGCUUUCAAACUUCAAAUACUUUCUUACUAUCAUGAGGGUACUGCACCUGGCAAGUUGAAUUUUACCUUGACCUUUGACCUUGAAUCUGAAGGUGAAAUUAAUAAAUUUUGAUUAAAUUGCCAUAACGUCUUUAUUUAGGAUCAGAUUUGAUUCAUACUUUGACAAAACAACACUUACCUGAUAUAUCACAACGGACUUCACCCAAACCAUCCCACACGCCCCACCCUAGAAAUCCCCCCCCCAAAAAAAAGUUGUUGUUUUCCUUAUUUUUUUAACAUGUUAAAAAAAGCAAUUUUUUUUUCUUAAGACCGUCCAACCAUCCCACCCAAGCUAUUGCUAUCAAACUUGAAAUACAAUCUUAUUAGUUUGUUUUAUGUCUUUACAAAUGUUCAAUACAUAUGUUUUGUGGAAACCUGAACUCAGAAUCGUCUAUAAUGUACCACUUCUUUAAAACAUAAGCGAUCAAUAUGUUUGGUUCAAACUUAUUUAUUACGACAUAGGAACAUAUUCACAAGUUACAUGACAUUGACAUAGGAUCAAUAUGUUUCAAUUAUGGUCCUCUUCCAGUUAGAAUAUGACUAUAGUACCUUGACCUUAUUGAAUAUGAUCAAUUUCCCCAUGGUGGCUUAUUUAUACUGUCAAGCACUUGAAUAGUCGAGCGCGCUAUCUUCUGACAGCUCUUGUGGUUUUUCUCAUCGACAUUUCCAUUUUAACAUUUAGUAGCCAAAAGGGUCCAAGUCCCCUUGGUCUCGCAAGAACGUACUGCCAGAAUUACGUUGAUCCACCAGGUUUUGAAGUAAAAACCGUCAAUGAUGUCAUAGGCGAAGGAGUCUUUGCCACUAAGCCUUUAAAAAAAGUAGACUUUCUUCUCGAAUACAAAGGGGAUCUGAUUACACGAGAAAAACAUGCACGGCAAUUAGAAAAGGAGUAUGAAAAGAAAUGUCAAGGCAGCUUCAUUUACUUUUUAAAUACAGAGACAAAUCUUGCUGCAUUGACGCAACCAACGAUAUAUUUCAUGAGGGUCGAAUGAUAAAUGAUGCCGAAAAUGGAGACGCAAAACAAAAUUGUGUAAUGAAAAUAGUUGAAGUCAACUAAACUCCCCAUCUAUGCACUUUCGCCAACAGAGACAUUGCAAUUGGCGAGGAACUCUGAUAUGAUUAUGGAGUACCAACACUUCCAUGGAGAAAGUUUUAUGAUAACAUUUAUGUUCAUUCAUGAGUUAUUCAUUUUAAAUACAGAUAUUCAAAUAUCUUUUUGCCGUGAAUUAAAAUGUUUUAUCAUUGAACGUCGUCAAGCUCUACUUUAAUGCGGUUUGUCUGAUAAUGUGUAUUUGUUAUUUGAAUUGUCAGAAAUGCACGGAGCAAAAAAUGGGUAUGUUUCACAGUGAUUUGUUAUUACUACACAUGCAUUAAUACAAAUUCGUUGUACUUAAUGGUUUCAUAACUAACGAACUUUCUAACACUGACUAGAUUAUGUGUAAUACCAAUUGUUAUUGUGGUUUUGAAUAGGCAACACAAUGACUACUAGAUCUACGGACAGCCAGGAACCAGGACAAACAACAUCCAUACACACGGAAGAAGUCAAUGAGACGAAAUGUACGGAACAAAAAAGGGCAACCCAAUAUUUACUAGAUCUACGGACAGCCAGGAACCAGGACAAACAACAUCCGUACACACGGAAGAAGUCGAUGAGACGAAUAGGGUACUUCAAAUACCAGGAGAGCAAUACAAGCAGCCGAAAAGCAAUGGAGUGAAAACGAAAAAGGAGCUGUUCACAGACACUUUGAUCGUUUUUUUGAUAAUGGGUAAAUUACCAGGGAAAAAAGAAAUACUUGCAUGUAUUGAAAGUGAGAAUGACCUUCACAACAGAAGUUGGAAAAAUGUCAAAGACUUUUGCAGAAAUUUAAUUGAAACAAAAAAGCGACGGGGACUUAUUACUUUAAAAAGUAUUACACAUAUAAUGCACGUUUAGGAAAAUACGUUAAAGGAUGAAGUUGCCACAUUUUUUUUGUGUUUUCUUGUUCUAUAUACUCUUUUCGAAAACGAUACAUGUGUGCUUAUUCUAUUUGAAUGUUUUAUUAAUACGGUUCAGUCAAAAACGAUAUUUGUUCAUAAUCAUAUCGCCGAACAAAUUAGGAUUGGUAUAUAGUUCGGCCAAAGAGUGUUUCUUUGUACUUUCUAUUACGAGUUUCUACGAGUUACUCACUAUACAAGUUAUUUUUUACCCUAAACUUGGUGAAUAUGAAUGAAUAUAGCAAACAUGAUAACAUAUCAAUCUAGAAGGCUAAACAUUCAGAGAAGGCACAAAAAAAUUCAGUCGAAUAAAUGGAAACAAACAUUUUGUUCAAGCAUAACAAACAAACACUUUUAGAUGUAAAAAGAUAAAUGUAAAUAACAUAAAAAAAAAACUACUGCUAAACUACUGCUACAAUAUGAAGAAUACAAAUGAAUAUUUUGUCAAUUUUACCAAAUUUGUUUUGAAUGACAGGUGUCUGACUUGCAGUUGAGUACUUAAUAGUUAUUUUAAAGUAAAAAUUUACCAAAAUGUAAAUUAUUGCGUAAAUAUCGCACUAGAAUUGAUUAAAUAGUUGUUAAAUAUUACAAUAAUUUCCUACACAGAUUUUUGUGCAAAUGUUUUGUGUGUAGAUAUUCACAUUAACUAUCAAUUCACAUAUUUGCUUUGUGUAUAUUAUUGGUAUGUUUAAAUGUUUUUCAUAUCAAAAUUGCUUGAUCUACAAAAAUUCGCGAGGAGUUCUGCAUUUUUCCCAUGUUUUUAAUUAAAGUUUAUAAUUCAACGACGAAGAAAGUUACUAAGAUGCCAGACUUAGUUAUGUUUUUGUCUCGUUUAUGGUUAAAGAUCAAUUAACAUACCCAUUUCCCAGACUAAGAUAUUGUUAAAACAAUUUAUCGCGUUUGCGACUGACCUCUUUUAUGCAUUCUAACACAAGCUAUUUACUUGUUUUUUCGAAUACUCUUCAUAUACACACACUUGAACAAGCUGUAGAUUACCUAGAACAAAACAUAUUUGAAACAUAUAUUUAUAUGUGAUAUGUAAAUGCAUGCACAAAGCUAAUAAUUAAUCAUGUUUAUACACUUUGCGAUAUGAUGCUAUAAUGUCGGUUGUUUUAAGUGAUUAAUCAUUAUUUUAACCAUGUUGUCUGCCAUCUGGAAUGUAAUUAAGUGUUUUGACAUGUAUGCGAAAUUGAUCUUGUUCGAUUUGGUGCUGUAUAUUCAGAAUUGAGUCACACUGUUAUAAUUUUCCUGUUGGUACAUAUUAUUUUUAAGUUGGCACCAACAAGGGUCUAACAAUUGAUCCACAUGUGCACUCCCAGUAAGUAUAUAUACUAUAAUGUAAAUGAUUAAAAAUAAUUUUAAA